GACGAACGCUGGCGGCGUGCUUAACACAUGCAAGUCGAACGGUGAAGCGAGUGCUUGCACUCGUGGAUCAGUGGCGAACGGGUGAGUAACACGUGAGUAACCUGCCCAUCACUCUGGGAUAAGCACUGGAAACGGUGUCUAAUACUGGAUACGACCAUCCCUUGCAUGGGGUGUUGGUGGAAAGAUUUAUCGGGGAUGGAUGGACUCGCGGCUUAUCAGCUUGUUGGCUGGUUAGUGGCCUACCAAGGCGACGACGGGUAGCCGGCCUGAGAGGGUGACCGGCCACACUGGGACUGAGACACGGCCCAGACUCCUAUGGGAGGCAGAAGUGGGGAAUAUUGCACAAUGGGCGAAAGCCUGAUGCAGCGACGCCGCGUGAGGGAUGACGGCCUUCGGGUUGUAAACAUCUUUCAGCAGGGAAGAAGCGAAAGUGACGGUACCUGCAGAAGAAGCACCGGCUAACUACGUG
rnacentral:rRNA from 1 species